AACAGCCUGCCUCAGUGCGUGAUAGUCCGCAGCAGACAGUCACGGUGAAAUAUAUAUAUAUAUUUUAUGUUAAAUGCUAUGGUGGCCGUGAUGUGACUUAGAAGUAGGCCGCAACCAAUACAUUUUCAAUCGCGACAAUGUUUUCAAAGUAUCCCAAUUUCAGAAAAACUGCCGAAAUGGCAACCAUGUUUGCGACAAUUUCCCGCCGUUUCAACCCCCCAAAAAGGAUAUCGUCUUUUUGAUAACACCUGCCCGAAAGACAGACACGUGAUGUUGAUUGAUACAAGUUGGGUGAAGCAGGCCUAAUGGAAGACCAUCAAUCAGGUGAUCUGCCAAGGAAGGGGAGGACCAUAGCCCAUCGGUCAAACCCCAGAUCCUCGUCUGUCCUCCCUCAGCCAGGCAACUCCCACCAGCACAGCACAUGGCUCCAUACCCAAAGCAGGACACCCCACCAUCCUAAGACUAGAGCUUGUCCCAGGAGACCCCUAAAACCCAGAACCAGAGGGCUUCCAGUGCACAUAAGGUUAAAUGCCUUAAAUCCUCCUGUGCCCAGCAGAAGCAGCCCAGAGUACCCAAGCCUGGGGGCUCUGUCCAACCCGUGACCAUUAAUGUCAAGCUCCAACUGAGAUCCCAGCCCCAGAGACCAUAUACAUGGUCCCAGCACAGACACCAGCCACAGGCCCAGUGUCCACAGCCCUAUUCCAUUAAAACUCGAUCCUCCACCAAGACUCCCACCUGCCCUUCAACCAAACCUAAGCCUUCCAUUCCACCUAAAUCUAAUUCGCCCAAAACUGCCAACCUAAAUUCCAGCACAACACCUGGUACAUGCCCCCAUGAUACCCCCCCCCCCUGCUGGGGUACUGCCCCAAGAGGGAGAGGUGCCACCUGUACCACAUGAGGUACCCCUUCCACUGGCAGGUGAAGAGGACUGACAUCCCGGAAUGGGUCAGCCUGGAACCCAGCUCCCAGCUGAAAGCAGAACGUUGGUUCUGUGACCCUGAUAAGGAAAGGGUCAACCUGACACAUGGGUGAGUGAGUGGCACGACGUAGAUGUUGCCCCCCACCACAGAACUUCAGAUGACCCUGGCCUAUAUCCCGAUUUCUAACCAUGAGAAAAUGUCUGACCCUGUAUCAAUGGUAAGGGGCAACUUCUGCCUUAUCAGAGUGGGUAUAGUUAAGACUUGGGUUAAUUACUUGAGGUUGGAGCUUGCAGCUUUAGGAUUAUUCCAUUUGUUCCUUUUAAAAUGGGUAGCUGAAGUAUUUGACCCAGGUCUGAUGGUUAAUGGUAAUAUUAUGUGAAGUAAUGUAAGUUUUUCCUCUCUUAAUAAUCAUUCACAUUUGAAUGAAAAUAACUACUCCCUCAGACAGCUCUUCUUCUAGGACUCUCAAGGACCAACUCUGCCUGAACUUUGUCUCACUGAUGGUGGAGAAUUCCACUGUGUACAGCCAAGUCAGGAGGCUGUCCAACACCACUGGCCCAGAGCUGAACCCUCACUUCCCAACACAGUGGCGCUUCUGGGAAUCUGACUAUGGCUGGGAAGCCUAUGGAGAAGUAUCCCACCCACCAAACUGUGGGGAUUUUACUUCAUGUUUGGUGUGAGGAAGUGAAAGCCUACUGGCAGUCUCAAAUUUGACAAAGAUAUUUUCAUUUGUUUAGAGAAGUUGUUCUUAGCCCUCAGUCUGUAGAUGGCUUUCCUCUCCUCCUUUCCUUGAUGACCUCUGAUGGAUGAAAUGGAUUGCUAGAACAUGUCCUGACCUUUGAAGUGACCUAUGACUCCUUCGGAGUAGAUUGACUCUAAUAACAGAUACUGGAUCAGCUAUUUAAGCAAAUGUCUGAUUAAAUUCAGGGCUAGGGAAAUCUGUUUCUAGAUCUGUGGUUUGGGGCUGACUUCAUCCUCCUCCCCUGUACCACCUAGGAGAACCUUGAGCUCAUGCUGGACUGUCUUAGUAAGGGUCAGGACAGCUGCUGGCUGGGUAAAGACUGGGCCUGUGUAAAUCUCAAGAUGCUUACAGAGAGAAACUUCAUCAGACUCCACCCACUGCAUCAGAUGCAAACCCACCUUCCGCUCGCCAGACUCCCUAAGACAACACCUCAGGACACUCCCAGUUGGACAGGUAACCCUCCCCAGUCUUGAGGUGGAUCCUAUGCAGAAUUUCAGCUACCAUACCCACCGAUGUGGACCCUGAGUCAAGGGAACCCCUUUUCCAUGCUGGAGGUUCCUCCUGGGAUGCUGGUUUACAGGACGGUUCACAACCUGUUCCACAGAACCAUGCCAGAGAGCCAGGCCCAGGAUCACCAGCAGGUCCAGAACAUCUUCCAUUGGGACAAGUAUAGAAUGUACGACUUUCCUCGUAACAUUCAGCACUUCAAAUACAUCAAAUGGAUUCCAAUGGAGGGUUGUGUCUCGCAUGUUCCAUGGAACAGGUGUCUCUCCAGGAGAUUGUUGUUGGCUUUACACUUUUAUUUACAUUUUCACUCAAUUGGACAGGCAGUUAUUUGCGACACUGAAAUGUACUAUAACAAUAUUCAAUUUUUUGUUAUACAAUUAAUUAGGUCGAGUUCAAUACUCUUGUGGAUUGGUUUCUUUUGUUGCCUUUUUAAUUUAAGUCACUCAACAUUUAGUCUAUUUGUAGAACUAUAAUGAAAACAAAAUGUUAGACAUGUUCUUUCUUUUGGUAAAGGGCCCUCUGUGGAAGAAAUGGAUAAAGAAGUCACUGUUCCUAACUCAUUUUCUUCCAUCAAUUCUUAAGUUGUCUGUGUUCAAUGAGAAGUAAAAUAAACUCUUUCACUGAAAAUCCAUUCGAUGCAAUGCAUCACUGCUGAUCAUAGUCAAUAAACCAAUGUAAAUGGAUAGUUUUGUAGAAAUGAAAUAUUCUGAAACAGUUGUAGCCAAUGUGUAUAAAUUGUCGUUCUGAUUGCCGCUUCUGUGCCCUCUUGUGGAGAAAUAUCGUGGUCAUAGGUGAUUGAGUUUAAUUUAUCUAGUUGACAUAUCUUUUUUGAUGGUGUA